GAUGAACGCUGGCGGCGUGCCUAAUACAUGCAAGUCGAGCGAACAGACGAGGAGCUUGCUCCUCUGACGUUAGCGGCGGACGGGUGAGUAACACGUGGAUAACCUACCUAUAAGACUGGGAUAACUUCGGGAAACCGGAGCUAAUACCGGAUAAUAUAUUGAACCGCAUGGUUCAAUAGUGAAAGACGGUUUUGCUGUCACUUAUAGAUGGAUCCGCGCCGCAUUAGCUAGUUGGUAAGGUAACGGCUUACCAAGGCAACGAUGCGUAGCCGACCUGAGAGGGUGAUCGGCCACACUGGAACUGAGACACGGUCCAGACUCCUACGGGAGGCAGCAGUAGGGAAUCUUCCGCCAUGGGCGAAAGCCUGACGGAGCAACGCCGCGUGAGUGCUGAAGGUCUUCGGAUCGUAAAACUCUGUUAUUAGGGAAGAACAAAUGUGUAAGUAACUAUGCACGUCUUGACGGUACCUAAUCAGAAAGCCACGGCUAACUACGUG
rnacentral:rRNA from 1 species